GACGAACGCUGGCGGCGUGCUUAACACAUGCAAGUCGAACGGAAAGGCCCUGCUUUUGUGGGGUGCUCGAGUGGCGAACGGGUGAGUAACACGUGAGUAACCUGCCCUUGACUUUGGGAUAACUUCAGGAAACUGGGGCUAAUACCGGAUAGGAGCUCCUGCUGCAUGGUGGGGGUUGGAAAGUUUCGGCGGUUGGGGAUGGACUCGCGGCUUAUCAGCUUGUUGGUGGGGUAGUGGCUUACCAAGGCUUUGACGGGUAGCCGGCCUGAGAGGGUGGCCGGCCACAUUGGGACUGAGAUACGGCCCAGACUCCUACGGGAGGCAGCAGUGGGGAAUAUUGCACAAUGGGCGGAAGCCUGAUGCAGCAACGCCGCGUGCGGGAUGACGGCCUUCGGGUUGUAAACCGCUUUCGCCUGUGACGAAGCGUGAGUGACGGUAAUGGGUAAAGAAACACCGGCUAACUACGU
rnacentral:rRNA from 1 species